UAAAAGUUUGAUUCUUGCUUGUAUUUUUAUUUUACGAUUGUGUGUACAUGUAUAUUCUAGUGAGGGUAAAAGUAAGGUAUUUAAGAUGCUUUGUUUUAAAAAGGUAGGUAAUAAAAGAUCGCAGUAUGAAGUGUUAAUAAUUGGACUAAGGUUCGAUUUAGUAAAUUGUAAUAAGCUUGAUUAAAUUUUGUGCCAGCAGUCGCGGUUAGACUUAGAAGUUAAGUAAAAAUAUUUCAGUUGGAGUUAUUGAAACCUUGGGCUUUAAUUUGAAUUUAUUGGUAAUAAAGGGUGAAAUUGGUCUAUUCGAAGUAAGUUUAAGUUAGGGGAACAGGUGAGGAGAAGCUCAGGAAAUCAAGAUAUAAACUAGGAUUAGAUACCCUAUUAUACUUGAGAAAUAAAAAAUGAAACUUGAAUAUUAGAAGUUAUGGACUUUAAAUUCAAAGAAUUUGGCGGUAUUUUAGUCUUGUUAGAGGAACCUGUUCUGUAAGUGAUACUACACGUAGAAUCUUGCUUGCUUUUGUUUUCAGCUUGUAUACCGUCAUUAUUAGAUAACCUUUAUUGAGAAAGUUAUCGUACUAUAAAAAAUUAAAUAUAUUAGAUCAAGGUGCAGUUUAUAGGUAAGUAGAAAUGGGUUACAAUGAAAUUAAUUUAGACGUAUUAGUAAUUGAAAAAUUAUUAUGAAGGAGGAUUUAAUUGUAAUGUAAAUUUAAUAAGUUUAUAUGAUAUGAGAACUAGAAUAUGUACAUAUCGCCCGUCGCUUCCGUUUAAGGCGGAAUAAGUCGUAACAUAGUAGGUGUACUGGAAGGUGUACCUAGAAUUAA
rnacentral:ncRNA from 1 species